rnacentral:ncRNA from 2 species
GGACCUCGACACGGGAGCCCGGAGAGCGGGCUGAGAGUGGGCACAGCGGUUUUCACCUGGGUUUUCCCCUGCCCUUACCGUCGAACCUGAUCCGGGUCAUGCCGGCGAAGGGAGGGAAACUCAUGGGAUC